CCUCGGUAAUUCUAUCCUCUAUAUGCUCUAUGUAUGAGUUUCUGUGAAGACAGCCUCAGUAUAGGUAUUCUCUAGAUGCUCUAGGGGGAUGUGUUCUAGGAGGUUACUACCUCAGUAUAUAUAUCCUCUAUGUGCUCUAUACAUUAAUUACUGUGAGGUCGCCACCUCUAUAUAUGUAUCCACAUGUUGGGUUAUUUCUAGGAAUCCUAUCAAACAGCUUUACUUGCGGGAGCUGCGAUAACCAGAGCUAUAUAUUUUUUUUCUUCUCUCCUGUUUGCUCAACGCAAUACUGAACAUGAUUCCUGGAGAUCGGGAUUAACAC